rnacentral:rRNA from 1 species
AGCCUUCUGAAAGGAAGAUUAAUCCAGGAUGGGAUCAUGAGUUCACAUGUCCGCAUGAUUAAAGGUAUUUUCCGGUAGACGAUGGGGAUGCGUUCCAUUAGAUAGUAGGCGGGGUAACGGCCCACCUAGUCAACGAUGGAUAGGGGUUCUGAGAGGAAGGUCCCCCACAUUGGAACUGAGACACGGUCCAAACUCCUACGGGAGGCAGCAGUGAGGAAUAUUGGUCAAUGGGCGAUGGCCUGAACCAGCCAAGUAGCGUGAAGGAUGACUGCCCUAUGGGUUGUAAACUUCUUUUAUAAAGGAAUAAAGUCGGGUAUGCAUACCCGUUUGCAUGUACUUUAUGAAUAAGGAUCGGCUAACUCCGUGCCAGCAGCCGCGGUAAUACGGAGGAUCCGAGCGUUAUCCGGAUUUAUUGGGUUUAAAGGGAGCGUAGAUGGAUGUUUAAGUCAGUUGUGAAAGUUUGCGGCUCAACCGUAAAAUUGCAGUUGAUACUGGAUGUCUUGAGUGCAGUUGAGGCAGGCGGAAUUCGUGGUGUAGCGGUGAAAUGCUUAGAUAUCACGAAGAACUCCGAUUGCG